AUUCAAUAAAAUAUUCUAUUUUCUUAUAAAACAAUAUUUAUAGAGUUACCGGUAAAUAAUUUUUGUAGCAUAAAAGCUUAAUAAAUUCAUACAUACUGUUAUACAGAUAACCAAAGUAUAAAAUUUAAUUUACAGUGACACGUGGGCCCACGAUGACCAAAAGUAUCAAAAGAGGUAAACGUACAGUUUUUUGAGGAUGCAAGUCCAACUGUAGUCCUCAACGAAAUGAACUAUCUACCGACUAGCCUAAGCCUGAAAUGGGUGGAAAUGAGGGUGGUGAGAUUAUAUAAUCCCAAUGAGUAAACAAAUACCAUCUAAAAUAUCUAAAGAUGAGUAAAUGGAGAUAAAUAAAAUAGUUUAACAUACUGUAAUUCAUCACCUUUCAACUCAUUUCAACCAAAUAAAAUCAAUUCAUAUAAAUCGAGCAAUCAACAUGGCUUAUGAAUUUCUUAAAACUUUGGCUUGUGCCAAAAUCAUUAUCAUACUCAGUUAUCAAGGAUACCUUGGUUGAGGGCUAUCCCAACUAAGACCGCCAAGGCUGUUAAAAAGUUAUGUACGCAUAAAUCAUGUUUUUAUUUUGAAAGCAUAGUCGUUCCUUGGUGUUGGUUGAGUUCACCCUCACGUGGUGGUUUGGCAUGAAGUGAACUCUAAAGUUUUAACCUUAAGAGUUAUCCAACCGCACCUUUCAUACUGAGGUAUGAAUAUAACAGGGUUACCGUGCCCUUCUGAUAGGCUAGUCCACAGAACCUCAUCCACAGCAGCGACCAAUUUAUAACCCACCAUACAACAAAAGUUGUGAUAACAUGACAUGGCAAUUAUUUUAUUUUACAGCCUCUCAAGGAAAAUUAACAGUUCAUACAUUUUCCACACAAAUACUAAUUCAGCCAUUCAUGCAAAUAUUAUCAUAAGCCAUUCAAUUCAAACCAUGAUUUAUAACACAGCAAUUAGUCUCCAAUUACUCCAUUUUCAAAACCAUAUUUCAAUUUCAAGACAAUUUUAUAAAAUCAUUUUCAUUUGAUCACAUUUUGCUCAUAAAACAUAAAGAUUUACCAUUUAAAUUCAUUUUCCAUAAAAUCACAAAAUUGGAUAAAAACCACUUUAGAUAAUUAAGACGAUAGUAAGGUUACUCACUAUUUCGGGAGUCGAAUUUCGAGUACUCCGAUUCUUGAUCCUCGAGUCUUUACUUUUGCCAGAAUGCUCACCACCUAGACAUAAUGCACAAUAAGCCAUUUACUACAUUUAUGCUAAAUUAUUAUAAAACCAAUUCAAGCUCUAUACUAAUGCAUGAAAUGGAAUGCAAAUUGUUCGGAUUAUCGUCUAAACAUGGUGUUCUACACAAAUUCAAUUGUGUACCUAAAUAAAACGGUAUUAGCCUAAUUCGAUCUAUCACCCGAUUAAUUGGCUAAUACGUCCAAUUUAAUGCCAAUUAACUCCAUUUUUCUCUAAUUCUCCAAACCAUCAAACACAAGUUAAAUAACUUGAAAUAUGGCAAAAUCAUCCUCACAUUUUCUCUUGGAAAAUUCGGCCAUGGUGGGUGCAUCAACUUUAUAAUUUUUCAAGCUUGAUUCUCACACCAUAAAUCACUAAUUCCUAACCAAAUCACUUGAAAUAAAAUCAAAACCAUCAUCAAUAUUCUACAUGGAGAAUUCGGCCAAUGAUGAACUCAUGAGGAAUAUGUGAAUUUCAAGCUUAAUUCUUACACUUAACACCAUAAACAACUAAAAACAUCCAUAUAUCGUAAAAAUCUAUCUAAAUCAUCAUCAAAUUCUCUCUGCUAGGGUUUGAUCAGCACACUAUCCUUCAUGAUAACUUGUGAUUCAACCAUGGAAAAUGCAAAAUAAUGCAUAGGAAAGGUAGAUCACAAGUCAAAAUCAAGAAAUUUUACCUUUGAUUGCUUGAUUACUUGAAAUCCACCAAUUUUCUUUUGAAUUUUCACCCUAGGGUUCUUGUUCUUUCUUUUCUUCCUUUGUUCUUGCUAUGGC
rnacentral:lncRNA from 1 species